rnacentral:rRNA from 1 species
CCCCCCCUGUCGGGGACUCCCGCAGCCUGGCGCUGCCCGAGUCCGCCCGGCAGAAUAACAAACCUCGGCGCCGGACGCGCCAAGGAACUCGAACGAAGGAGCGCGCUCUCGGCGGCCCGGAGACGGUGCCCGCGCGGGGAGCGUCGCGAGAACUGUAUCCAAAACGACUCUCGGCAACGGAUAUUUGGUGUGAAUUGCAGAAUCCCGUGAACCAUCGAGUCUUUGAACGCAAGUUGCGCCCGAAGCCAUUAGGCCGAGGGCACGUCUGCCUGGGUGUCACGCAACGUCGCCCCCUCCCCGCCGCCCCCGAGGCGGCGCGUCGGGCGGGGCGGACGAUGGCCUCCCGUGGGCGACUCGCCCCGCGGAUGGCCGAAAGACGAGCCUGCGGCGUGGGCUGCCGCGACGGACGGUGGAAGAGCGAAACCUCGAGACCGGUCGCGCGCGAGUCCUCCCUUGGGGCAGGCUGCGAGACCCUUUAGCGUCGUCGCGUGUAGCGGGCGCUUACGAUGCGACCCCAGGUCAGGCGGGGCCACCCG